CAAAAAACCAAUAACGGCCUGACCAAUCAAAUUACAAAAGACCAAUAACAAGCCACCAACAAAGAUAUAGUUACUCAUCAUGCGCAUCUAAUAUCACGGCAAAAAACAUGUACAAUUAAUUUUCUAAAAUCUUGCAACUUGUUGAGCUCCACAUGAGUUUACAACGUAAUCAUCCGAACAAGUUCUCCAAUCCGGCGAAAUCAUACACGCAGAGGUGUCGAACUUCAUUGCCUAAGUCCAGGAAAAGGUCAAAUGCAAUCCUCAGACGAUCCAAACUUGUCACCUUUUAACAUACAUCACCUUUCAUUCUUAGUUGAAUGCAAUAGUAAAAUAUAGAUAAAGAGAACAAAUAAAUCAAAUUGCUCAUUCCUUAGUUAGCUUACAUGCAACUUGAAGCCAGACUUAACAUCACCACAAUGUUCCAUGAAUUUUGCAAUGUAAAUCCCGCAAUCAUUGCUGAACAAGGAAAAAAAAUUAAUUUUCCAGAUCAAGUCACAUUAAAUAAAUUCGUCUUAUGGUAAAGUAACAAUAACUCCUACCCAUUGCCCUGUUUGGGACAAUUUUCAGGCAUAGUAAAUUUGUAGUUGUUCACAUCUCCUUUAUUUCCAUGGCCAAAUCCAUAUGACAGUGCCUCUUCAAU
rnacentral:lncRNA from 1 species